rnacentral:tRNA from 1 species
CCUGGUGGCUUGGAUACUAAAGCAUCUGCCUGCAAUGCAGGAGACCUGGGUUCGAUCCCUGGGUCAGGA